AGCAGCCGCGGUAAUUCCAGCUCCAAUAGCGUAUAUUAAAGUUGUUGCAGUUAAGAAGCUCGUAGUUGAAUUUCGGAAUCUGUCCGUUGGUCGGGCUUAAUUGUCCGUACUGAUGUGAUGGGUUCUUACCUUCUGAAUAACCAGCAUGCCAUUAAUUUAGUGUGUUGGGGAAGCAGGACUAUUACCUUGAAAAAUUAGAGUGCUCAAAGCAGGCUAGUGCCUGAAUACAUUAGCAUGGAAUAAUAAAAUAGGACGGCAUGGUUCUAUUUUGUUGGUUUCUAGGAUCACCGUAAUGAUUAAUAGGGAUAGUUGGGGGCAUUAGUAUUCAAUUGUCAGAGGUGAAAUUCUUGGAUUUAUUGAAGACUAACUUCUGCGAAAGCAUUUGCCAAGGAUGUUUUCAUUAAUCAAGAACGAAAGUUAGGGGAUCGAAGACGAUCAGAUACCGUCGUAGUCUUAACCAUAAACUAUGCCGACUAGGGAUCGGACGAUGUUAAUUUAUAAUGACUCGUUCGGCCG
rnacentral:rRNA from 1 species